AGUGAACGCUGGCGGUAGGCCUAACACAUGCAAGUCGAACGGCAGCACAGUAAGAGCUUGCUCUUACGGGUGGCGAGUGGCGGACGGGUGAGGAAUACAUCGGAAUCUACUUUUUCGUGGGGGAUAACGUAGGGAAACUUACGCUAAUACCGCAUACGACCUACGGGUGAAAGCAGGGGAUCUUCGGACCUUGCGCGAUUGAAUGAGCCGAUGUCGGAUUAGCUAGUUGGCGGGGUAAAGGCCCACCAAGGCGACGAUCCGUAGCUGGUCUGAGAGGAUGAUCAGCCACACUGGAACUGAGACACGGUCCAGACUCCUACGGGAGGCAGCAGUGGGGAAUAUUGGACAAUGGGCGCAAGCCUGAUCCAGCCAUACCGCGUGGGUGAAGAAGGCCUUCGGGUUGUAAAGCCCUUUUGUUGGGAAAGAAAAGCAGCAGGUUAAUACCCCGCUGUUCUGACGGUACCCAAAGAGUAAGCACCGGCCAACUUCGU
rnacentral:rRNA from 1 species